ACAUAUAUACAUUUACUUUUAUAUAUAUAUAUGUGUGUGUGUGUGUAUGUAUAUACAUAUAUACAUACAUAUAUACAUUUACUUUUACACAUAUAU
rnacentral:miRNA from 12 species